rnacentral:lncRNA from 1 species
UAGCUAUUACAUGACCAUGACUUUACUCUAGCUGACCUCCUGGUCUAUCCCGUACCUGCAAACCUGGGGGAUUAAGGGAGUGGGGUGAGCUACUAGAGCCCAGUGAGCAGAAUAAUAAAACAUUAUAUUUAAAACAUAUGAUAUCAUGGAAUGCAUCACAUCACAAACAAAUCACAUCAAGGAUGAAUUUGUCACCUAUAGCCCUCUACACAUUCCAAUAGUGCCAGGGGCGUAGAAUGGGCCUCACUGGUCUUUCUCUUACAUAGCAUAACAUAACAUAACAUUCAAUUAAUGCUAGGGGC